rnacentral:rRNA from 1 species
GGGUUAAGUCCCGCAACGAGCGCAACCCUUACCCUUAGUUGGUUUUCCCGAAAGGAUUACCCUCUAAGGGGACUGCCCCGGACAACGGGAGGAAGGUGGGGAUGACGUCAAGUCCGCAUGCUCCUUACGUCUAGGGCUACACACGUCCUACAAUGGGGUCGACAGUGGGAUGCAAAGCCGCGAGGUGGAGCCAAUCCCCAAACGGCCUCUCAGUUCGGAUAGUAGUCUGCAACUCGACUACUUGAAGUCGGAAUCGCUAGUAAUGGCGGAUCAGCAUGCCGCCGUGAAUACGUUCCCGGGUCUU